rnacentral:rRNA from 1 species
UACGAAGGGGGCUAGCGUUGCUCGGAAUUACUGGGCGUAAAGCGCGCGUAGGCGGCUUUGUAAGUUAGAGGUGAAAGCCCGGGGCUCAACUCCGGAAUUGCCCUUAAGACUGCAUCGCUAGAAUCCGGGAGAGGUGAGUGGAAUUCCGAGUGUAGAGGUGAAAUUCGUAGAUAUUCGGAAGAACACCAGUGGCGAAGGCGGCUCACUGGACCGGUAUUGACGCUGAGGUGCGAAAGCGUGGGGAGCAAACAGG